rnacentral:tRNA from 1 species
GCCCAGGUGGUGGAACUGGCAGACACGCGAGACUCAAAAUCUCGUUCCCGCAAGGGAGUGAGGGUUCAAGUCCCUCCUUGGGCACCA